UUGGAAACUUCAGGGCUAUUUCUCUCUCUUUUUAAAAAAAUAUUUUAUUUAUUUAUUCAUGAGAGAUACAGAGGCAGAGACACAGGCAGAGGGAGAAGCAGGAUUCAUGCAGAGAGCCUGAUGUGGGGACUUGAUCCCAGGGCUCCGGGAUUACGCUGUAGGCGGAAGGCAGGUGCUAAACCACCUGCCUUCCCCAGGGAACCCCUCAGGGCUAUUUCUCAAACUCUAUUGGUGUUUGCCAGAAAAAUCCUCUUUAUCGCACACACAGUUGAAUGGAGGAUAGUUUUGAGAUGUUAAUUUCCAUUUAUUGCAUAUAAAAGAUAUUUAAGGCAUAAAGGAAAUGUCUAACUUACAGCAGGUUCCAAUUUUUGAGACAAACAUCUGGGAGCCUGAGGCCAUAAGCUUUAAAUCCAACCAGUUAAAUGUUUAUUGAACACGUAUUUUGAACGAGUCUGUUGAGGGAGUUUAAAAGUCUAUCUCAGACUUUAUCUCAAAGUCCGGUCCUCAAGUCAACCAGUCUAGUUAGUUGGGCAGACAAACCCCGACUCCGGGAACAAUGCAAGGUUAAACAGUAAAACUAUACAAGUACACUAGCAGUGAAAGAAGGCGCUGCACGGUUGGCUUACAGAGGUUUCAGGCAAUAUAUUCUGGUGGUGUUCCAAUACAGGGAUCACAGGGCUGGAAAACCCCUGAAAAUCUUCACAAAGAAGGUGUGCAUUGGACUGGAUUGAAAACACAGGUAAGCAUCAGAUAGCCUUAAAGGGAUGGGGAAGGCAAGAAGUCUUGACAGAGUCGGGUUGCAGGAGUGGGGAGUGGGAGGGGUUAGAGGGGUAGCAAGGACCACACUGGGAGGUGCCUUGAUGCGAAUGCCGGGUGGGGAGGCUGGAGAUUUCUCUCGUGGAUCCAAGGUCGACAAAAGCAUAAAGGAUGUUAUUGGCAGAAAGAUAAAAAUUGCAGUGAAGAAGAAAGUAAAGUUGGAAGUUAAAGGAGACAAAGUUGAAAACAAAGUGCUGAAGAGUUAAGGCUGCAGAGGAUUGAGAGGCUGGUGUCUCUUUGGGGGACGUCUAUCCUGGAUGACACAGCUGAAGUUCUGUGAUGGGCCUGAAGGCUUCAUGUUGAUAUUAACACCGUCAGCUUCCAGAGUGCUCAGUCCAGAUGGUGCCAGGACUCUUGUAUCGCCUUUAGACGUGGAGGACCCUGCUUGCUCACGUGGGCCUUGCUCCUCAUGGAGGAACAGCUAGCCAAGCGGAGUUCAUCUGGUGCUUAUUGCCGGACGUUUGCCCCUUCUGCUGCUGGGGUGCGGGGACGGGGAACCCAUGGGCCGUGUUGGCAAAUUCAGUGAUCAUCAAGCAUUUCCAGCGCCUGGAACUGUGCCCUGCAGUGUGCUCCUCUCCCCCUCCGAGACCUUCCUUGCUGAAAAUGCAGUGAUUUAAAUUCAGAAGAUGGAGGAAAGACUCCCAGUUUCUUUUCUGGAGCCUCCUACGGACUGAGUGUUUUUGCUUCCCUGCCAGACUGCUAUGUUGAAACCCGAAUCUGUGUGAUGUUACUUGUGGACGGGGCCUCAGAGAUUGUAAUCGGGUAAUGAGGGGGAGGUCCUCAGGAUGGGAUUAGUGCUGUCACCUUCUGCCUAAGAAGAGACCAGAGAGCUGGUUUGCUGUCCGCUGUGUGAGAAAGGGCGAGAAGGCAUCUAUCUGUAAGCUGUGAGGAGGGCCCUUAUCAGGAAUUGACUUGGCCAGCACCUGGUCUUCCAUGGAACUUGGAGAAAUAAACAUUUGUUGUUUAGGGAUCAUGGGUGGCUCAGCGGUUUAGCACCUGCCUUCGGCCUGGGGCAUGAUCGUGGAGUCCCGGGAUCAAGUCCCAUAUCAGGCUGCUUGCAUGGAGCCUGCUUCUCCCUCUGCCUAUGUCUCUGCCUCUCUCGCUCUCUCUCUGUGUGUCUCAUGAAUAAAUAAAUAAAAUCUUUUUUUUUUUUAAUAAAUAAAAUCUUAAAAAAAAAUUUGUUGUUUAAACCACCCACCCAGUGGUUUUUGUUGUUGCCGCCCAAGCUAAGAUAUGAUCUAUGGGCCAACUCGAAAAGACUGUGCCCUCAGAUCUUCCCUUAAGUGUUUCAAAGUUAGGGCACUGUCCAUUUCAUGUUUUUCGUAACUUCAGAUCAUCUUUAAGUCUUUAAAAAGUGUUAGUGGCUUAAGAUUGAAGUCAGCCAGGAAGCACUUGAUUACUUUGCUUUGAGGUCUAGAGUGGAGUCAUUGGUAGAGUGGAAUAUCAGUGUUCUUUACUCUAGAUGCUUUGAAACAUGAAUAAUGCUGGGCGUUUGGGAAUCCCUGAGUCAGCAUGCGUAGAGAAAAAGCAGUCAGUUCAGUGUCUGCCCAGUGAUCAGAGCCAAUUAAGCAGGAAGGGUGGUUACCCAUGGUGUGGGCAGCAGC
rnacentral:lncRNA from 1 species